rnacentral:rRNA from 1 species
UACGAAGGGGGCUAGCGUUGCUCGGAAUCACUGGGCGUAAAGGGUGCGUAGGCGGAUUCUAAGUCAGGGGUGAAAUCCCAGAGCUCAACUCUGGAACUGCCUUUGAUACUGGGUAUCUUGAGUAUGGAAGAGGUAAGUGGAAUUGCGAGUGUAGCAGUGAAAUGUGUAGAUAUUCGGAAGAACACCAGUGGCGAAGGCAGCGAACUGGCGCUCGAUUGACGCUCAGGCACGAAAGCAUGGGAUCAACAGGAGUUAAGAAU